rnacentral:rRNA from 1 species
AUUGAACGCUGGCGGCAGGCCUAACACAUGCAAGUCGAGCGAGCGGCGGAUGGGUGAGUAAUGUAUGGGGAGCUGUCCGUUAGAGGGGGAGAACUACCGUAAACGGUGGCUAAGACCGCAUACUGUCGGAUGUACCCACAUGGGAUUAGCUCGUAGGUGGGGUAAUGGCUUACCCAGGCGACGAUCCCUAGCUGGUCUGAGAGGAUGAUCAGCCACACUGGAACUGAGACACGGCCCAGACUCCUACGGGAGGCAGCAGUGGGGAAUAUUGCACAAGGGGCGCAAGCCUGAUGCAGCCAUGCCGCGUGUAUGAAGAAGGCCCUAGGGUUGUAAAGUACUUUCAGUCGGGAGGCGUUACCGACAGAAGAAGCACCGGCUAACUCCGUGCCAGCAGCCGCGGUAAUAC